GGUUUGAUAGGCUAAAAUAAGCUAUUGGGUUCAUGCCCCAAAUAUGGUAAUCCAAACCUCAAACCU
rnacentral:tRNA from 1 species